rnacentral:tRNA from 1 species
AUGGGUGUAGCUCAGUCCGGGCAGAGCACUGGCCUCCAAAACCAGGUGUCGGGGGUUCGAAUCCCUCCAUCCAUG